rnacentral:rRNA from 1 species
UACGUAGGGUGCAAGCGUUGUCCGGAAUUAUUGGGCGUAAAGAGCUCGUAGGCGGUCUGUCGCGUCGGCUGUGAAAACUCGGGGGCUCAACCCCGAGCCUGCAGUCGAUACGGGCAGACUAGAGUGCUGUAGGGGAGACUGGAAUUCCUGGUGUAGCGGUGGAAUGCGCAGAUAUCAGGAGGAACACCGGUGGCGAAGGCGGGGUCUCUGGGCAGUAACUGACGCUGAGGAGCGAAAGCGUGGGGGAGCGAACAGG